rnacentral:lncRNA from 1 species
AAAGGUGGAGGCGGAAGUGACUGAUCAAUUCAGGGGUGUGGGGUUCGUUUAGGUUUUGCCCUGUGUAUGACCUCUUUUGGAGCCAUGAAACCAGCCUCAAGCUUUAUUCUAGGGAGGUAAUUCUGAAGAUACCUAUCUUCUUGAGAGUGAAAUUUUAUGGAAUCCUAGAUUUCUCAUACCUAGGAAUAACAAUGAGCAAAGCAGACCUUGGUGGCCAGAGGGAGCCCUCAGGUAGAGCUGCAGAUGCUGGCAGUUUGUGUUAGAAGGUUCCGGGGCUAAACAGAUGUCUAGAAUUAGCUACCAAAAGGUAAAUUGUAGACUCUGCUCUUCAACAAGAAGCAGAAGGAUUAGGAAUUCAAACAAUACUAUUUUACAGUGGCUUUUCUACAAUAUAAAGAUGGAAAUGGGAUGAAGAUGUUCAUUGCAAAUUAGGAAAGCUCUUCCACAAGUUCACCAAUGGAAAUAACAUCAAGAGUUUUUCAUCGUCUUAGUGUGCAAGAUUAAAAUGAAGAAUGAAAGGAAAGGGAGAGCGUCUCUCUUUACAACGCUGGAACAGAUGUCUUGAGUCUGCCUCCUGAUGACUCAAUUUAUGUCAUGUGCUCAGCCCUAAACCAAUCCCUGUGGCAGAAGUGAAGUGGCUGUGAAAAGAACUGGGAGUAGUAUUGAGAAGAAAAGUAGAAAAUGACAGGUCAAAAUAUAACAAAUGUCCACUACCAAAAAUAACAUUUUCCUGUCAAUUUUUAAGCAUGUGUGUAUGGUUUCAAUGUAUUAUUAAAAGUAUGUGAGUGUAUACAUAUACAUAUAAGAAUAUAAUGUAUUCUAUAU